rnacentral:rRNA from 1 species
GAUGAACGCUGGCGGCGUGCCUAAUACAUGCAAGUCGAGCGAACGGACGAGAAGCUUGCUUCUCUGAUGUUAGCGGCGGACGGGUGAGUAACACGUGGAUAACCUACCUAUAAGACUGGGAUAACUUCGGGAAACCGGAGCUAAUACCGGAUAAUAUUUUGAACCGCAUGGUUCAAAAGUGAAAGACGGUCUUGCUGUCACUUAUAGAUGGAUCCGCGCUGCAUUAGCUAGUUGGUAAGGUAACGGCUUACCAAGGCAACGAUGCAUAGCCGACCUGAGAGGGGGAUCGGCCACACUGGAAAUGAGACACGGUCCAGACUACUACGGGAGGCAGCAGUAGGGAAUCUUACGCAAUGGGCGAAAGCCUGACGGAGCAACGCCGCGUGAGUGAUGAAGGUCUUCGGAUCGUAAAACUCUGUUAUUAGGGAAGAACAGAUGUGUAAGUAACUGUGCAUAUCUUGACGGUACCUAAUCAGAAAGCCACGGCUAACUACGUG